CAUAGGGCUCCAUGGCCACCCUUCCUCAACUUACCCUGGGAAGAGGAAAGAAAGUUACUUGAAGGCAGUGAUCCUCAGUCCUAUUAAAACUUAACUCCUUUAUAUGGUAAAUACCUUGUGAAGUACUCUUUACUAUCUUGAAGUAAGGUGAAAUUCAUAGGUGAUAUAACUCCCAUCAUUAUGACAACCAAUUAAUACAUCCACAUAUUUCCAAAAUACUCCAUGGGGAAUGGGACUAGUCCUGGUUGAGAGCCAUUUGGUUAUGGAUUUUCUUUCCUGGAUAGGAACCAGGGAAAAGCAAACUGCUAGACUGGGAAUAGGUGUGGGUUGGGUUGGGAAGAGCCUAGAGCAGUGGGCAGAGAGCAUCCUUCUGUGAGGGUCCUCAGAGCUGCAAAAAACAGAGGUGGGGAUGGGACAGGGCCACACAGAGUGUCCUGGCAGGAAUGCUGGGAGAGAGAAGAGAGGGGCCAGAUCCAAAGGAGCCUUGUGUUGGGAGUGAAGAAUGGCCUAGCAGUGACCUGCAUGGCCUGAGCAUCCAAACCUGAAGGAGCCCAGAUGUCUCUGCAGAUGUCAGUAUAGGUAUACAGCUGCACCCCAGGCCCAUCCUGCUUAAAGCUCAUUGAUGGAAACAAUCAUAAUUUUCCACACAUGGAGUUUGUGGAUGAACAUUCCUAUUUGCUACAAUUCUUUUUUUAAAAAGAUUUUUUUUAAAAAAUUUAUUUGAGAGAGUGAGAGCACGAACAGGCGGUAGGGUGGGGGUGCAGAGAGGAAAGCAUAUUUUCCAGUGAGCAGGGAGCCUGAUGCAAGUCUCGAUCCUAGGACCCUGGGAUCAUGACCUGAGUUGAAGGCAGCCACUUAACCAACCGAGCCACCCGUGUGCCCUACUUGCUACAGUUCUAUUCAGAAGAAUCUCUCACUUGUUUGGAUUCAGCCUCCCCUCACCUCCUCUACUGUGGAAGAGUAACCAUAGCUUAUGAUUUGUCACCUUAGCACACAUCUCUGCUGCUUAAAAUCCAACUAUUCCUGUCCCUUGGAAGAUGAAGAAUCUGGUACAGAAUGAAGAUAGUCUGUGGGUUUUAUGAAACAUGAAAAAGAAAAGAGAUCUCAAGUGUAGAUACUUGGAAGCAGGAGCAGAUGAGUUUUGGCAUCCAGUGGCUUGAUAGGGGCAGCCAGCCAUCCAACCAGUAAAAACACACUUGUUGAAGUAUGUAAUUUGUCCAACUACCUGGGAGAGGUCCUGUGGGAAUACAGCCAUGAAUCAGGCAUGUGAAGGACAUUUGGACUGAAAAGGAUGAGAGUGAUAUCAGGAAGAUUGUGUCUUCAAAAGUAAAGUAACUGAUACCUGGCAACAUAUAUCCUAUUUAUUUAUGUUAUAGAUUUACCAAAGUAAAAUUAAGAAUUGAAAAAGGAAAAGGAAAUCCAAAGUGUCAGAAAAAUAUAUACCCUUGGGGUGGAGAAAAGCUUCUAAAAUAAGCCAGGAGACCCAUAAUCCAAAGAAGAAAACAUUGAUGUAUUUGAUAAGAUAAAUAUUUAAAACUUUUAUACAUCAUAUGGUACCAUAAACAAAAUCUAAAGCCAAAACACUGGGGGGAAAAUACUUACAACUCAUAUGAUAAACAAAAGGUUAGUGUCUCAAGGCAGUACAGAAUGUUAAGAAAAAGGCAUAUAGCCAUUGGAAGGAGAGGCAAAGGCAAGUCAUACCUGAGGAGACAAACAUGGUAACUAAGCAUAUGAAAAGAUGUACAGCCCUACUGGAAAUCAGGAGAGUGCAAAUUAAAAGGAUGGGAUACCAUCUUCACUCAACUGAUCAGUAAA